rnacentral:rRNA from 1 species
AAUGAACGCUGGCGGCAGGCCUAACACAUGCAAGUCGAACGGAUCCUUCGGGAUUAGUGGCGGACGGGUGGGUAACGCGUGGGAACAUACCCUUUGGUACGGAAUAGCCUCGGGAAACUGGGAGUAAUACCGUAUGUGGUCGAGAGACGAAAGAUUUAUCGCCAAAGGAUUGGCCCGCGUUGGAUUAGGUAGUUGGUGGGGUAAUGGCCUACCAAGCCGACGUUCCAUAGCUGGUUUGAGAGGAUGAUCAGCCACACUGGGACUGAGACACGGCCCAGACUCCUACGGGAGGCCGCAGUGGGGAAUCUUAGACAAUGGGGGAAACCCUGAUCUAGCCAUGCCGCGUGAUCGAUGAAGGCCUUAGGGUUGUAAAGAUCUUUCAGGUGGGAAGAUAAUGACUGGACCACCAGAAGAAGCCCCGGCUAACUCCGUGCCAGCCGCCGCGGUAACAC